GGUUUGUUUGUUGUCUGUGUUUGUUGUCUGUGUUUGUUGUGUUUGCUUGUUGUUUGUGUUUGUGUCUGUGAUGCUGGAUGUUUGUUUGUUGUCUGUGUUUGUGUCUGAUGCUGGAUGUUUGUUUGUUGUCUGUGUUUGUGUCUGAUGCUGGAGGUUUGCUUGUUGUUUGUGUUUGUUGUCUGUGUUUGUUGUCUGUGUUUGUUGUUUGUGUUUGUGUCUGUGAUGCUGGAUGUUUGUUUGUUGUCUGUGUUUGUGUCUGAUGCUGGAGCUUUGCUUGUUGUUUGUGUUUGUUGUUUGUGUUUGUUGUUUGUGUUUGUUGUCUGUGUUUAUUGUCUGUGCUUGUUGUCAGUGUUUGUUGUCUGUGUUUGUUGUCUGUUUGUUGGUAGUUGUUCUUGUGGAAUGAUGUCAUACUUGGCUUGAAUGAACCCUUUUUCUCCAUUCUCCAGUAUUUAAUUUAUUUAUUCUCUAAGUUGAGCGGACAUUGAGCACAAAGAGUUUCAUUACUGAUAAAUGCUGUUUAUGAGUAUAUGAUGAUAAACUUGAACUUGAACUUGAACUUGAAC
ensembl:lncRNA